rnacentral:rRNA from 1 species
GGCCUGGCCGGACGGUCUGCCUAACGGUAUGUACUGUUCGGCCGGACCUUCCUUCUCGGUGAACCGGCAUGCCCUUUGCUGGGUGCGUCGGGGAACCGGGACGUUUACCUUGAGAAAAUUAGAGUGUUCAAAGCGGGUUUGCGCCUGAAUACAUUAGCAUGGAAUAAUAGAAUAGGACGU